UCGACUUGUAGCGACUCCUUCCUGGUGUGUACUUCUCCUUAACUUGGUUAACUACCAAGAUCCUCUUGUAUAAAUGUUGCCGAUGCUAUAUCAUCACCUUCUUGCACAGCUAGAACAUUCAAUCAAUUCUUCAGAGUUCAUUGAAGAACAUGAGUUCUGUGGAGGCAAAGGCGUGAAGUAUCCAGGGCCUGCGGGAGGAAGCACCAUAGUCACUAGCGCAAAGGCAUCGUGGCCCGAGGUGGUCGCGAUGUCCGUCGAGAAGGCCAAGGAGAUCAUCCUCAAGGACAAGGCCGAUGUGGAGAUCGAGGUCCUCCCAGUCAACGCAUGGGUAACCUAGGACGUAAGGCCCGACUAUGUGCAAUGAGAGAUUUGUCCAACUUAUUGUAGUUGCCUGGAAUCUUAAAAGUGCGCAUGCUCGUUGGCGAGAACGAGCGGCCGCUUCGUCACUUGCAUGCAUGUUUAUCUUUUUAUAUCUGCUAGUGCAUGGUUGUUGGCAUUACAUGUUGUCGGACUGAACACAUCAAAAAUAAAGCAACAGAUCCUUGUGCA